AAUGGAAAAAAAAAAGAGGGAGGUCGGAUGAAGUCAACUGAAACACUUUGAUUUACAGAGUCAGCCUGGAAUCCUUCAUCCAUCCCAUCAUGCACCUCUGUUAAAAACAUUUCAAACAUACAGGAUAUGUUUCUCCUGGAUUAAGAGUCAUGAAGUACAGUACAGUGCAGGAGCCUGUGCCAUGAAACCACACAGCUCUUUGGGUCUAUAAUCAUAAAAGGAGCACUUCCCAUGAUUCCUGUGAGACUGGAGAGAGUGCUGGUUAAUGGAGGAGGCUUUUUUGGGGGGGAGAUUCCGAAUCUGAUUGGUCAAAAUCCCAUCAUAUCACAAGCCAAUUAAUCUCUAAUAUAACCACUCUGAACACAGAGGUAGAAAUCUCAGGAUGGUAAACUGAUGCUUGUGUUAUUUGUUUUAGGUGAAGAACAGACACGCAGAUGUAUGAUGCUGAGCCUGAGAGCACACGGACGAGCUGUACAUCAGCUGCCAUUAGCUGAUAAGAUAAGUGACGGACAGAAAAAUGAAGUGUUCAGUCCGGAGCUGAGCAGAGCAUAUAAGGGCAGCAGUGUGCAUCCUGGCAGACUCCACUGGAGACCAGAAAUCAAUACUAAGCUUUAUACUUCCUCCAUCUAUCCGUCCACCUCUCCCACCAUCUAUCUACUGCUGUCCUCUGCUUUUUCUCUCAGUUCUUCAUUAGCUGACAAAGUCCACGGGCGAGGCAGCUUCAUGCUUUUCUUUAUGUUCUUCUUUCUUUACUUAAUUACUACCUUAUUACAUGAAACUUCUUCAGUACUUAGAAAACCUCACAAAGUAGAUUAAUCACUGGUUUGUGAACACAUUUUGGAUGGGCCUAUUUGGCCUGAUGAUCACAUAAUUGCAACAGUUUAAAGCUUCAACAGUAAACAGGCUACAUGUGCUGCAGAUGACAGCAGACUCCAUGUUUGCUCGAACGUUUGCUCAAUUUUAUUUUAAAAACUUCACAAGUGAGCAAAGCUAAACUUUAUCAAAUGAGCAACACCACAAAAAACUCACAAAAAAUGAAAUGCAGCUUUAUGCAAGAAUACAACAUUAUAUUUUUGUGCAUACUUCAAAGUGAGGCCAGCUGUGUGUGCUGCAAAUGAGAUGCCGGCUGGAGCUGGAGAGACAUGCAUGUUUUGAGACUUGCAGGAUCCAUUUGAGGGAAACACUUCUGGUUCGUUGUGGCUGAGAGGCUGAUAUACAAUUAGUUAGGGCUUUGGUUAUUUACAGUAAGUCACAGAGCUAAUGGUUCACUGUGACAUGAACCAGGCCUGUCUGCCAUUACACGUAUUAGCAUGUAGUCACUCAAAUAAUUAGCAAACUAAGUACACAUGAAUAAUUAAAUACACAAAUUCCUUCAUUUUAAACAGAAAUGGUGAAACUGGUUUCUCAGAACACACUCACAUUAAACAGCUUUAACGUUCAAACCACUGAGCUGAAUCUCAGCAUGAUGCAAACAACCACCACCAAGAAAUAAAUAUGAGUCUUUAAACGGCGCUUCGAAGAGGUGAUAGCACUUAACUGAUGUACUGUAUUUAUAUAUGUUGACAUAUACUGAGUGUACUGCUGAAAUUAUUUGUCAUGCAGUGAAAACUGGAAAACAUCAUCAAAGCUACAAAAUGCUUUACUGACAUUCAAAUAUGCAACAAUUCAAUCUUUUCACUAGUCAUUUCUUAUUUAUAUUAUAAAGUACUGACAUGAAAUCCUCAUGUAGGCACAUCAUGACUCAUUUUUCAUAUCUAAAUGUUUAUUAAUUAUAAUUAGUUGAUUUAGCAAAAUGGUGUUAAAGAGUGUGCCAGCUGCUCGAAUGAAGGACCUGUGGUAGCUCUCCUUCUUACAUGGUGGGAGUAGCAGUCACAUGACCUAUUUAUGAAAAUCCUCUUUGAGUGUGUUAUUCAUCAUCAGUUCUUGAUUUGAGCAUUAAAAAUGCGCUGAUGUAAUCUGUAAUCUGAUGUAACACUGUCACCCUCUUUUAGUUUCAGUGGAAAUGAGGGCAUAAAGUGAAUCAAUAAAAGAUCUUUGAAAUGAUGAUCACACCUGCAUCAUGUUCAGGUCAAGCACACUGUCCUGCUUUUGUUUACAUUGACAUGUUACUCAUUAACCGGACGUGGUGUCCGCAGUGAUCAUGUUCAACAGUCCUGAUCAAUAACAUUAGAGCCAGCCAGCCAGCCAGCCAGCCAGUCAGCCAGACAGACAGCCAAACAGACAGCCAGAGUGUGAACAUGGAAUUUAACAGCACAGCAUUUUUUCUUUCAUCACUUUUUUUUCUCCAUAUUUCAGCACGACCGGUGUUUAACAUUUUAAUCAGUUGCAAUGAUGGGAAGGUAGGCGCUGAAAACAAGUACAAUGUCAAAGGUGAUACUGGAAAAAAUGUUUCUGUGGGUAACAUCACCAACAUUCAUGUUUCUGGAACAAACCAAGGAUGCAUUGGAGGAAAAAACAACUACACUGUGACAGCAGGACGAAUCCCAGCAAAGUCCAAUGUUGGCAACAUCAGUAAUGUUACAGUUGGUAACAACUCAGGAUCGAUUGGUUCAUUGAACCGUAUUAACAUCAGCUGAGGAAUUCACUGGUGAUAACAAAUGUUACAUUUUAUUCUUUGACAUCAGUAAAGAUGAAGAUUCUUCAGAUUAUGUAUCAAAUACAAAUGAAAAUAAAGUCAAUAUGCUGUGUUAAAAUGUCUUUGCUUUAUUUCUUUUCACUGAUUUGACUUUUGGCCCCUUGGUACCACUGGCCCCAGAUAGAUCAGCUCAGCUCACUAUCUAAGUUCAACUCCAACAAGGAUGUCAUUCUAUAAGAACCUCCAUCUAUUAACUGCUAAUUCAAAUCAGAGUGGCGGGGGGCUGGAGUGACCAAUUAAUCUGUGGGACACGGAGAGAACCCACAAACUCCACACAGAAAGGCCCCAGCUGGGGUUUGAAGAAAUGACAGCUAACUGCUGCGCCACCAUGCUGCCCUCUGUGAACAAACAUCUAACACACAUGGUUGAUACAUUCUUAAUGAACUAAAUGGCAUCUGAAUCUUGUGGCUUGUUUUUAAAACAGGCAUGUCAGAUUUUGAGCCCCUAGUGACAUCACUAAUAGACUAGAACCAGAACCAUAUUUAUCUCAGUGCUCCAUCUCACCUCAUGAUCUCAUGGUAGCCUGACACCAAACUCAGGUUCCGGGCGGAAUGAGCCAGCAGUUCAUUAGAGCAGACACUGAAACCUGCUGUCUGGGCACUGAGAGUUACAGACGGGGUACAGAGAGAGCUGCUGUGUUUGAUCCAUGGGGAAUUUUGACCAAAGAAUUUCACAGACAUGUCAUUAAGACACCUGAGAACUGUGUGAACUUGUGGAAUAAUAUAAUAAUAUGUCCCCUUUAAGUCCAAAUAUCUCAACACUAAUCAUGAUGUAUUGCUAUGCAAUGCUGACAUUCAUGAACCCGGAGGGUGAAGUUAACUGACUUGUGUGAUUCACUGACUUCCUGGAUGAGGGUUCCCAUCGUGGUUUUAUCUAUAAAUGUUAACAUGUACAAUCAUGGUUAACAUUACAACUACUAAAUAUCAGCAAUGUCACUGUGAACAUGUUAACAUGCUAAUGGUCGCAUUCAGCUCAAAUCGCCACUGUCAGCCGAACAGCCUGACAGAGCUGCUAAUAUGGCUGUAGCUUGUGGAAUAGAAUAGAAAAUGGUAUUUUUCUAAUAGGCCUAGACUUAUUGUAGAGUUGGAUACAUCAUGUUUAUUUAAGUAGUAGUAGGAUUAUUAGGAGGAUUAGGAGAACAUCAUACAUUUGAGACCUGUGAAUCACUGCCACCAUAUUCACGUAUUACAGAGAUUUGAAUAGAAUUAAAUUGAAUUAUAUUAAAUUAAUAAAAAAGUGAAAGGAAAUGACAGCGUCAUUAUCAGACUAGCCAAUUGGUGUAUUAUGACUGAGUGGCAGCAAGGUGGGGCUAUAUCCAAAUCUAUGGACAGAGCUGUGAUUGGUGCUCUGAAGCUAUUGAAUAGAACAGAAUAGAAUAGAAUAGAUAUUUUAAGUUUUUACAUAUGUUUCACCCGAAAUAUAACCACACACACAUAAAGGGCUCAUUGACAUGCAAAUGUGCAGUGAUGGGCAGCGGCGCCCUGGGAGCAGUUAGGCUGUCGGGACCUUGCUCAAGAGUGCCCAGGAGGUGAAGUGGCACCUACAACUCCACCCUCCAUACUGGACUUGAACCAGCCACCCUCUGAUUCCCAAGCCAAGUCUCUACAGCCUCUCUAUCUUGACUGAGCUACUGCUGCCCAAUGAUCUAGUAGUCUAAAGAACGUAAUAUUGUCUCACUCUGUUGAUCUGUUGUUCUCCUGAUUAAAACUAAAAUUGGCAUGCUGUUUCCAAAAUUGCGUCAAGUUUUUUCUCCUCAGUUUACCCUCCAGAUAAGCAAAAUUCUACUGAUCAGCUGUAGUAAGACUUGCCAGCUGAUUACGAUUGGACUCAUCUACAGCUACGUGGCAACUUGUUUGUUCAGUCACAAUUGCGACAGUGCGGUGAGAUGUGUGUGCAGCUCCCAAUAGGUCAGUACUAUCAACAUCUGCACACAGAAAGCUGGCAUAGUAGAAUGAAGAGGAUUUGCGCUGGCUUUUCUCUUAACCU